rnacentral:lncRNA from 1 species
AGGCGUGUGCCACAAAGCCUGGCUAAGUUUUGUAUUUUUAGUAGAGACGGGGUUUCACCAUGUUGGCCAGGUUGGUCUCGAACUCCUGACCUCAAGUGAUCCACUCACUUUGGCCUUUCAACGUGCUGGGAUUACAGGCGAGAGUCACCGCACCCGGACGACUCUGACAUUUUUGAAGAGUCCAGAAUCCUGUUACACCUGGGAUUUAGGCACUUUCAAUCUGAAAAAAUACAUAUCCUUUCAGCACUCUGGACGGACUUGAGAACUGUCCUUACGUGACCUAAAGCUGGAGUAUUUUGAGAUUGGAGAAUUAAGAGUGUGGGCACCCUGGCUUCAAGCUCACGAGAAACCAGGUCGGGAUUUAAACAAUGUUGGGUUAAAGCAAAGUUUCAUAAAGACAGAAUCAAGAAAAAAAGAAAGAGAAACCAAUCUAAGUGCCAUCCUCCCUGAGUUGCAUCUUACCUGAGUCUUCAGCCGCCGCCCCCUGCUGCUGUGGGAGGAAACGGGAAAGUGACUGGCCAUGGGGACAGGGGUCGGGGGUGUGAGGGUUAGUGGUAGCAGGGAGGUAGCACUUCUGUGAAGCCGGAAAGGAGACCUGAACCUGGCUCUCUGCUUUGCUGCUUGCCAGCCCUCUGGCUGGGAAGAAGGCUCUUGGCUCUUGUGAGCCUCGGUUUCCUCUGCAGAGUGGCCUGUUCUGAGGACAGGCUGACAUUGCUGUCCAUCAGUCUUCCAGGACCCUGAGGAUUUCAGCUCUACCCAUGGGCACUGAACUGGAACAUUCACUGGUCAUUUGCUU